CGGGUGAUACGUCCAAUUGACAUAUAUAACCACAUUUCCCUGUGCUUAUAUAAAAAAAUAGUCUUUUAUCCUGGGCCGGGUCGAGAAACAUCUUUUGCAGACCGGCCCGGUCAAGGUCGGUGCCGUCGCAUGGAAACACCUUGGGCCGAGGCGUGGCGCAUUCAAAUUCUGUAGGUCUUCCAGGUAGUUCAUGAGGCCAUGCUUCGUCUUGGGGACAGAGCGGGAAAUGGCGCUACGGAAAGGCGAUGGUGGGGCAGCUUGGAUGGUCGGCAUGGGAACCGCAGCAGCCAUGUUUAACUCUUUGGAUGGGAUUCGGUGGAAGAGAGAAGAAAAAACCAGAUCGCUUCUCCUCCGCUGAUAAGAGAGGAGAAGAUGCAACAUCACUUCUCCUCCGCUGAGAAAACGGAGAAAUGCAAGAUCGUUUGUCCCCGUGAUGAACAAGUAGCGAAUCUGAACCUUCCCUAUUUAUUAUUAUUGUUAUUAGAUCUAGAGUUAUGGCACUUAUGUUGGAGUUCAGUCUGCGUCCACUUCCAGCAGCUGCCUUUCUCCAAGCCUAAUUUUGGCACCCAUGUUGGAGUUUAGUCUAUUUGCUCAAGUGAUUGUUUAAGGUAGCAUUUUGCCCGGGAGCAUCAAAAACCCUUCUGUUUUUGCAUUUUGUUGAAAUAAAGCUUGGGCAUGAACCUGGGAGUAUCAAUUAAUGUUGUAGAAUUGUUUUUAUUUUUCCAAGCUUAUUAAGGAUUUAAUAGGUUUAGACCAGGAUUAUCCUAUCUAAAGUAUCCAUUUGCUCCAAAGGUUGUUCUAUUCAUUAGGAGCUGAAUCAGAUUUAUAGGAAUCCCUUUUGUUACUCCACUCAAUAGUUUAAGUGUAAUACUCUGUUAGCAAUGG